CCCAGACAGCCAGGAUGUUGGCUUAGAAGCAGCCAUCAUUUAAAGAAAGCGUAAUAGCUCACUGGUCGAGUCGGCCUGCGCGGAAGAUGUAACGGGGCUAAACCAUGCACCGAAGCUGCGGCAGCGACACUAAGUGUCGUUGGGUAGGGGAGCGUUCUGUAAGCCUGCGAAGGUGGCCUGUGAGGCUUGCUGGAGGUAUCAGAAGUGCGAAUGCUGACAUAAGUAACGAUAAUGCGGGUGAAAAACCCGCACGCCGGAAGACC
rnacentral:rRNA from 1 species